rnacentral:rRNA from 1 species
UACGAAGGGGGCUAGCGUUGCUCGGAAUUACUGGGCGUAAAGGGCUCGUAGGCGGCCAACUAAGUCAGACGUGAAAUCCCUCGGCUUAACCGGGGAACUGCGUCUGAUACUGGAUGGCUCGAGUUUGGGAGAGGGAUGCGGAAUUCCAGGUGUAGCGGUGAAAUGCGUAGAUAUCUGGAGGAACACCGGUGGCGAAGGCGGCAUCCUGGACCGGCAUUGACGCUGAGGAGCGAAAGCCAGGGGAGCAAACGGG